GAGCGAAUUGAGAGCCCUCAGUGUCCUGGGGGAAUAAUUCUCCCUUAAGCAGCAGGAAAAGAAAAAAGGCGGCACGGUGGAUCAGUGGCAGCCGAGGGACUAUGAUAUGGAAUCGAUUCAUUUGGCUCUUGCUGAUGUUCCCGAGAAUCACUGACUCCAAAGUCACAGUCAAGCAAACCCCGGCCUGGAUUAACGUUGCCAUAGGUGACACAUUGAAUCUGCACUGCAAAUUUAGUGUGGAUGCCACCCAUUCAG